rnacentral:lncRNA from 1 species
AAAAAAUAUAAAUUAUAUAUUGUCUACUUCGUUGCCAAUAAUAUAACUACAGUACUUAAAGGUACAAAUGCGAUAUUAAAAUAUAUUUCUCCAGAAGAGAAUUAUAUAGUUUUUAAUGGGUAACAAAUCAAUGUGAUACAUAUGAGAAAGAAAAUCACAAAAUAUCUUCAAACUUCUCAUGGCUAACAAUUUUCAUCAUGAAAUUACCUGUCCCUGAAAUAAAAAAUAAAGCGAAGUUUCAAUUCUAACUUGUUAAAAUGCAAGAAAUGAUUUGAGAAAUCUUAAUGUUGUUUUGUAAAAGAGAUGACAACAAUAUCUUUGAAUUAAAAUACUAUGAAAUACAUUAAAGAUUUCAGAAUGCACAAACUAGUUUGCCUCUUGUGGUAAUCUCCCUCAAUACUCAUCUUACAAAUGGGGAUAAAAACAUACUUAUCAGACUGACUCUUUCAAAAUGAUAAGACUUUUAAUUUCUCAAAUGAUGAAUUACAUUAAGAAAGCUUAGGAACUUUGACUCAAUAAAAGUUCUGCCCUUUUCUGUUUUUCAGGAAAUGAACUUCUUUUUUAACUACUCUUAGUUAAACCAAAAUAGACUAAAAGGACAAUGAAACUAACAAAAAGAUCUGGCCAGUAAAAAAGAAAGAUCUCAAUUCAGCUAACACCACCAAACUUAUUCAUGCUAGGCAUUCCUAACACAUUUUUUCUUAAGGAUUUACUUAAGAAUUAUCUAAGACACUCAUGAGAUCAUUUACUUAAAUUCCACUUCAUUUUAUCCAUUAUGUGGUCCUAAAAUUCUGUUACUCAAAAUUUUCAAAAAAAUUUGCUAGAGUUUCCUUUGUAAAUAGGCCUAUCAAAAACCUGUCAGCUAACCAGAAUACAUAUAAAUACGCUUCACAGAGCGUUACAACAAUGGAUAUUGUUAUGCCGUAUUGAUACAAAACUAUGUGUUUAUCAACAGAUUCCAACCAAUACAAUAACAACAAGAUGAACAACAAGGUGCUAGUGAAUCGAAAUAGGUCUCACACGGAUUCACUAGACUUUGAAUUUAUGUGUUUGAACAAGAAAAUUAGAUGAAAGACAACGUAACAAUACUAGUGAAUCGAAAUAGGUCUCACACGGAUUCACUAGACUUUGAGUUUGUGUUUUGAAUAAGAAAAUGAGAUAAUAACAAGGCAACAAUGCAGUGAAUCGAAAGAGUCCCACACGGCUUCACUAGACUAUAGAUUCAAUAAUACAAUGUUAAAACGAUAAAAAUUGCUCAACAAAGUACUUACACAAAUCUCUUUUGCCACUUCAUUAACAUGUGAUCCAUCUUCUUUGGUAUUGAGUUAUUUACAUUGAAACGAGAUAAAACUCAGUGGUGCAAUAAACUUGACAAGGCUACCAAAAUUUGUGUAUAUAUUAUUAUUCUAUGCAAAUUGAUUGCAGAACUGAGAAAAAUUUCUUAAACCAAAUAUGAAUCUGCUUUACUUUUACAAUCUGUGCAAACGAAAAUUAUAUGUUUAUCAAAGGAUAAGAAGCCCUUCCACACCCCUCCAACCUCAACCAAAAAUGAAGUUCUGGUUUGCUCAUUCCAGACUAAACCAAUAGCAGCAAACCAGAUGUGAAGAACUGAGAAUUAUCCUUGUAGCUAAGCCUUCUCUAGGUAAGCUAUUUUCAAUGAAGAACCAAGGUGAAAGCCGUUUUUCAAUGAAAUUAGUAAUGUAGCCAACUAAGUAAAACCCAUAUGCCAAAAUGAACAAAACAACAUUAAAACAACAUCUAAAUCACAAAAAGUUCACAACUUUCAAGAAUACCUGCUGAAAAAAUAUAGAAAUAAGAAGACUUUAAUGGUGUGAUUAGACCUUAGUAUGCUAUUUUUUUUUUCUGGUCAGUUACUAAAUCAGUGCACAGUAAAAAAUAACUAAAUCCGACAUGCUAAAAUGAACUAGAUAUCAUUAAAACAAGACCCAACAAAUCACAUAAAGUUCAAAGCCAAAACUAAGCAAAAUCCAUAUGAAAAAAUGAACAAAACAACACUAAAACAACAUCCAAAUCUCAUUAACUUAAUGUUGAAAAUAUAGAAACAAAAAUACUUUGAUGGUGAGAUUAAGCCUUAACAUGCUAAAACUAAGUAAUCCUCAACAACACCCAAAUCAAAUAAAGUUCACAACUUCAACAAUACUUACUAAAAAAUAUAGAAACGGCAAAACUUUAAUGGUGUGGUUAGGCUUUAAUAUGCCAAAACUAAGCAAACCCCAAAUGCAAAAAUGAAUCAAACAACACCCAAAUCACAUAAAGGGAUGCAAACGAACACAACUCCUAAGCUCGGGAAAUGUAAGCGCAGGCAUAGCUUGCUGAAGGUCAGAAAGAAAAAGGUAUACAUUAUAAUUCAUUCAAACCCAAGAUACCAUCAGUGUCUAGUGAACACUAGGCUCUUGUUUCAUUGCAACAUAUGUGAAGAUAAUUUGAUUUGGUUACAGGACUUGUGCAACAGAAUCUGUAUAAGCGAGUUGUAUUAGCAAGAAUUAACGUUUGCCUACCCGACCUAUCGUUUUCCUACCAACUUCAACCUAUCGUGACUAUCUCAAAAUCAAUGAAAAUAAAAUCCACACAAUAUGAAUUUAACACACCAAAAUAUCAACCAAUUAAAAUUAAUUGAGAGUGAGAUAAGAAAUGGACCUCAAUUUAUUUCAAAUCCAACUUGUUCGACAUCGCCAUCGGAAUCUCGUACAAACAUUAACCAAACGAACAAAUUCAACUUCAAUCUAAUGCCUUUUGCAUUUCCUCGCCAAAAUGGAACCAAGAAUUACAAACUGAAAAUACCAGAACCCAUUCCGUGUCGUUUUUCGAUAGAUUUUCGAUGAGUAGUCGCCGAAAAGUGAACGGAAUGACUGUUCUUGUUGAAUAUUGGCUGAGUUUUUUUAGGGGAUUUGGAGUGCAUUGAAGCUGAUUUCGAUCGGGUUUUGGGGAAGAGCAUUUUUGGCAAUGGUUCGAUCAAAAAAACGUGGGGAAGGGGGAUGGUGGCAUUUCUCGGCAGUGGAUGACCCCUUCCGGGGAGAUUCAAGCGAAGACCUGCUGGUCUCCAACCCCUCUCUCUCUCCUUCUCCGAUCUCCCCCUCUCGUUGUUAUCUCUGUACCUCUCUUUUUCUCAAUUUCUCUCUCAAAUCUCCAUUUAUCCACUUUUUAAUCCUGGAUGUAGAUGAAAUGGAUAGAUUAUAUGAG